UACGUAGGGUGCAAGCGUUAAUCGGAAUUACUGGGCGUAAAGCGUGCGCAGGCGGUCGCGUAAGCCAGAUGUGAAAGCCCCGGGCUUAACCUGGGAAUUGCAUUUGGUACUGCGUGGCUAGAGUGCGGCAGAGGGAGGUGGAAUUCCUGGUGUAGCAGUGAAAUGCGUAGAUAUCAGGAGGAACACCGAUGGCGAAGGCAGCCUCCUGGGCCAGCACUGACGCUCAUGCACGAAAGCGUGGGGAGCAAACAGG
rnacentral:rRNA from 1 species